GAUGAAGAACGCAGCGAAAUGCGAUAAGUAGUGUGAAUUGCAGAAUUCAGUGAAUCAUCGAAUCUUUGAACGCACAUUGCGCCUCCUGGUAUUCCGGGAGGCAUGCCUGUUCGAGCGUCAUCAAAAACCUCAACCCAUGAUUUGUUGUGAGUUGGUUCUGCAUUGGACUCCUUGUGGGUCCUUUGCGAAAUCCAAUGGCGAAGAGCCACGCAACCAAAGCGUAGUAUAACUAUUUCGUUAUGGAAGCGUGGGUGCCUCUGCCGUAACCCCCAAUUUCUUAGUUUUUGACCUCGGAUCAGGUAGGGAUACCCGCUGAACUUAAGCAUAUCAAUAAGCGGAGGA
rnacentral:misc_RNA from 1 species